CUGAGCCUACUCACCCAAAAAAUAAUUAGCAUGAUGAAGGAGAUAAGGAGAACCAUAGCUGCCAUGCCUGGGGUGAUGGGACCAGUCAGCGUGUGGAGGAGUUGAACUUUAAUGCAUGUGGCACUAUAGAGGAACUCCUCUCCCUUGAAGACAAACUAAAAGAAAGUGACACACCAUUUAAGUCUUGUAGGGGGACCAAACCCUGGGGAGAUGCGGGCAGUGACCUCCUACAGUGUCUGGAAGGAGUUCACAUUGAAGGGGAAAAAGCGGAAGAGACCACUGCUAAACACGCAUUAUGAAGGUUAUGAAAGAGACAGUGAUGAGGUCCAGUUGAGGACUUCAGCAGGCAAAAGUGGAGGACAUUGUGGCAGACACACUAAAACAUGCUCCAGCAAGGUGUCAAAAUUAU